GAUGGACGCUGGCGGCGUGCCUAAUACAUGCAAGUCGAGCGAACGGACGAGAAGCUUGCUUCUCUGAUGUUAGCGGCGGACGGGUGAGUAACACGUGGAUAACCUACCUAUAAGACUGGGAUAACUUCGGGAAACCGUAGCUAAUACCGGAUAAUAUUUUGAACCGCAUGGUUCAAAAGUGAAAGACGGUCUUGCUGUCACUUAUAGAUGGAUCCGCGCUGCAUUAGCUAGUUGGUAAGGUAACGGCUUACCAAGGCAACGAUGCAUAGCCGACCUGAGAGGGUGAUCGGCCACACUGGAACUGAGACACGGUCCAGACUCCUACGGGAGGCAGCAGUAGGGAAUCUUCCGCAAUGGGCGAAAGCCUGACGGAGCAACGCCGCGUGAGUGAUGAAGGUCUUCGGAUCGUAAAACUCUGUUAUUAGGGAAGAACAUAUGUGUAAGUAACUGUGCACAUCUUGACGGUUCCUAAUCAGAAAGCCACGGCUAACUACGUG
rnacentral:rRNA from 1 species